UAUAUAUAUUUUUCUCUAUCUUUCCCAAGGCAAGACGUUGAUUAAGUGGGAGGUUUUCAGAUCGAUAUUAAAAGGAGAGACACAAAGAUGAGCAGACGAGGAAGUAGUGGUCCAAGGCUUGAAUUGAAACUGAACCUAUCUCCUCCGAGGGCUAACUCAUCGUCACCAGGCGACUCCCCAGCUGCCUCCGAGACAUCCUCGGACAUGUCAAUCGAUCACAGCUCAUGCGUGUCAUCGGAGCCUGAUGAUCAGAUGAUGCAUUACCUGAGUAGGCCCGAAGCCAAGGCGAUGGUGCUCGCAGGGUGUCCUCGGUGCCUCAUGUAUGUCAUGCUAUCUGAAGUGGAUCCAAAGUGCCCAAAAUGCAAAAGCUCUGUCUUGCUCGAUUUCUUUAGCGAAGAAAGCAGCAAAAGGAGAUGAAUAUAGAUCAGAAUAUGGCUUGCUUUUCUUGUUUUCACAUGGAGCAAGUAAAUUCCAAUAUAUUUGUUAGGCUUUUGUGUUCCUGCUGAGGUUUUGGGUGUUCGGGUUAAGCCUUUUUAUUCUUCCUAAAGGAAAAUUUUAUAUUAUAUUUGCCCGAGUUGAUUGCCUUUAGGUUCAAGUAGCUUUUAGAGUUUGUUAGGUUGUUUAUUGUAAGAAUAUUGUGGAACUUUCAUUUUCUAUCUACUUUUCUUCUUCUAUGUGAAUGCAUCCUAAUUAAAUCU